CUUGGAUUUUGCGUGAUAUAGUUCUCUGUCCUCAGUGAAAUGGUACUAUCAUUUUGAUGUAAAUUUGUGCCUACAUCAUGGAUGGCCAGAUUAAUCCGAACCGGUCAUUCUUUACAUUUUUUUCAGACUUUAAGUCCAAUAGCAAGGUGGCUGCAACAGUCGUGGAAACUGUAGUUCUAUCUUCAGUCUUCGUGUUUUCGCUCUUCACGAAUAUCUGCGCCAUUGUACUGUUGACCAGAAAGAAAAGGCUGGUUACGGCUAACUGUUUUGUGUUGAACCUUUUUUGUGCCGAUCUACUCUUCAUAAGUAUGAUUCCUCUAAUUCUGGUAAUCCGCUGGACAGAAGUGUGGGUCUUAGGGGAGUUCGUCUGCCACAUGCACUUUUAUAUAAUUUGCCUGAGUGGAUGCGUCACUCUUAUAUCCCUGUCCGCAGUGAGCCUCGAAAGGAUGAUCUGCAUCAUGAAGGUAACGCAAGCUGCAACUUGCAAUGUUAAAGUGGUGGUUCUAGGAAUAUUCAGCAUCUGGGGAUUUUCAGCCAUGACUGCCCUGCCUCUGUGUUUAUUCUUCAACGUGGUAAACGUGACAAUCAAUGGCUCGG